GCUGAAUUCCGCUCUUGGCUUCCAGGGCUGAAUUUUGCAAACACUCGGACUUCCCUACUUUGGCAGUAACCCCACCUCCUGAGUCCAGCUGUGACCCUGACAAUGUUUCCAAUCUUGCGCUCCCAGGAGGAAGGCCAAGUCUGCAGCAGGGGUGAUAAGGUCAAUUGAGAAGAACCCUCUCAGCAAAGGAUGCUGCAACCCUCAUCCCCCCCCCCACUCCCCCGCAGCAGCACUGGAGCCAGCAGACAGGUAGCCCUGACUCUAUUUUGCAGCCGGGGAAACUGAGGCAGUGCACGGAUCCCGGUGGUCCCCCGGGUUGGCGGAAAAGGAGCGCGAACCACCGCGAGCGCGGAGAAAAGUUGGGGGGAGAAAGAGGGGGAAGAGGGAAGGCGGCACUGGUACUCUGCAGUGCACGGUGGUCCCCUGGGACAGCUCCCUCAAGCGCUCCCGCCCCACCGGAAGCGAGUGCCGGGGCCGCGUGGAGGCGACAUCCACUGGCCGGCGGGAACAUGGGACCGAGGGCGCUCCGGGAUGCCGCCCCUCCGUGGCCCCCCAGUCCUGAAUGCCCACAUCCCCGAUCUCGCGCCCUCCCGAGAACGCUAUCACUAGGGACCACCCACCCAGAAGCAAUCCAUGUCAAAGAGGAGGGUGAGCCUGUCCCCUCUGGUGCUCAUCUGCUGAGAGCUUCCUUUCUACAUCUGCACAUAGUGAUCCCUAUCACAGAAGGCCCACAUCAGGAUAACUGCUGGCAGUUGUAUUAAACUGACGUCAGGCUUUUCUAGGACGGAGCCUGAUCCUAUGAAGUCGUGUCAUUAUGACGUCAUGCCAUUGUGACGUAGAGGGAGGCAGCUGUGGCCAUUCAGAGUGGCCCCAACAGGCGCAACGAAGAGGACAGGAAGUGGGCUCACAGGAGAUGCUUGGUUCAGAUCCACACUCAGAGGCUCUGGAAGACGACACCAUUCAUGCAUGCCACCUUGCCAUGUGGGAUCCAGCUCUCCACUUCCACUUCUGGGCUAUCAGGAAGCUGUUUCCACUUUCCGCUCCUCAGUUGGCUUCUCAGCAUAGGGCAGGGCAAGUUUCUGGACAGGAGUUUGGUGAGAUUUGCCAUUAAGCAAAGCCUGAGGGAUGUGAUAAAUCCAGCACCCUCCCAGUACAAUUUCAGUUGUGGAACAGCAUCACAGUUACUAUUUUCUUUGCAUCAACAGUCAUGUUUAAAGAAGGAAACAUUACUUAGCCCUAAUCCAUUCUUUAGCAGUUCUUUAAGAAAAGGCACUAAAUGGUUCCAGGAGAACAUGGCGGAUAGAUAACAGCAGCUACGGAGGCUCUCCGUAGCUUAGAAUUCAGGAAUGGUGCAGUGUGAGGAGUCCUAAGCAAGGGGAGAUAUACCCUGACCCAGGAACGAACUAAGCUGAGAGAAACCAACUGGAAAUGCAAUCCUGGUGCUAUAACUGGAACAUAAAAUCUCAGUGCGGAAGCUGGAACUUGCACCUCUGGAAACUGUGAUUUGAAUCUCCUGCCACUGCUGCUGCGUCGGAAUCAGCAGAGCAAGGAGAGAGACAUGCAAAAGCUCUGAGAGCGGGAGUCAGCGAAUGUAGUUGAGAGCAGGACUGGCGGGGAGCCCUGCAUCGAACUGUGGUGAGUGAGAGGAAUGGGGACCUUCCAUAGACUAGGAGGCUCCAACAGAGGACAUUCUGGGAACCAGGCAGACUAGGUGAAACAGGAACGCUACAGUAACUUUAGUUGCAUAUUCUUCUCUCAAGCGGGAUUGGUGGGGAGCGCUUGGCCUGGGGGAUGCCACGGACUAAGACCCAGUAGGCUAGCCCAAACCAGGUCCCAGCACAUGGUGGUGCACCCUAGCAGUGAAGCCUUCAGUAGGUUGACCUGAAGGGGUGGGCCCAGCAGAGGCUACCCAGGUCUGUGUCUCCCUAGUACACUGCAGUGGGCAGGAACACCUAGCCAGUGGAUUCAAACAAACUGUAAUCAACAAAGAAAGAAACUGGGCCUCCUAUAUAUGCUUGUAUGGAAGGAACAAAAAGUAUGGGAAGAGGGAGCAUCAAGAAAGAGUCCUCGGCCCCCAAUCCUGAGAACACUGAUCCAGGAAAGGUAAAUGCAAAUUAGAAUGAGGACAGAAAACAUGCAAUAUCAGACAUGGCACCAAUAGACAUAAAGUGAUGUCUCCAGAGCCUCAUAGACGAGUUCAAAAGUGAAGUAUUUAACGACCUAAAGCAAGAUGUAAGUAGAAUAGUUAGAGAAAUGCUAAGCACCUCCCAAGAAAAAACAGAUGGUGGAAUGGAAGAACAGAAAAAAAGGGGAGAAUUGUUUGAUGGGGAAAAUAGAGAAAACAUAGAAUACGUGAAGCAGGUUCAAAGAGAUUACCAGGAAACUAAAAUCUCUACUGAAAGCUGGCAUAACAGCUUGUAAGAAACUAACGAUAGAUUAUCUGAACUGGAGGACAGAUUUGUAAUGUGGGAGCAUGAAAUGAAAAACUUCUUAAAAAUAAUAAGGAAACAAACAGCAAUAAUACAAAGACUAGAAGAUGAUAAGAGGAUCUAUAACUUAAGAAUUAAGGACAUAAAAGAAGAAGUAGGGACACAAACAAAUGAACUAAAAGGCUAUUCACAGAAAUAAUCCAGGAGAUUUUCCCUAAUGUAGCAAAAGGUAAAGAUACUCAGAUGUAUGAGGCAUACAGGAUGCCAGCCACCUACAACCCAAACAGAGCUACACUGAAGCAUAUAAUAAUUCCAGAAAUGCAAUAUAAGAACAAAAUAUUAAAAGCUGUCAGACACAAGAAACAGAUCACUUACAAGGGAACACCCAUCAGAAUUACAGCAGACUUCUUGGCACAAACCAAGUCACGAAGAGCAUGGGAGGAAAUAAUUCAAGCUUUGAAAGAUAAUAACCUCCAGCCAAGAUUGAUAUAUCCUGCACAACUGUCCCUAGAAAUGGAUGGAAAAACAAGGUGCUUCCAGGAUAAAGAGGAACUAGGGGAAUUUGCAACCACCAACUCAAUUCUACAGAGAAUACUGCAGGAUAAUCUAAAAAAAUAAAAAUACUAAGAUUCCAGAAACGAGUGGCAGAGAGGCCACAAUGAAUGGAGCAGAAAGUGAAAUGAAGAACACAAACUGACAACUAAUGACAGAAAAGGAGCUCAACAGAAAUGAGGCAGAGAAGGUUGGAUGGUAGGGACAGCUAUUUUGGAGAAAAGAUACAAAAUAGCUAGUGCUGAUUUAAUACCAUCUUGUAUUGAAGUCCCAUCAAGCUUUUGUUCUUCUGUCUCCAUAGGUCUUAACAUGUUGUAUAUUAUUGGAUUUUAUUAUAUGUGAUAAUAUAAAUAAUAACUUUUAUAGACAAGGAGAUUAUACAGAACCAUUGUUCAUUUUCUGUUAGCUGAUUCUAAAUACCCUGUAAUACUGUCAUUCUCUUGAAUGGUUUUACAUUGUCUUGAUAUGUUUGAUGCUACAGGUUAUGAAGUUAUACUCAAAGAUAUCAAGAAAAGAGACACUAUGGAAACUACUUUUAUGUUGGGAUAUCUUGGGGUGAAACACUAUUUUGCUUAACUGGUUAUGUUUGACCUGCGCUGUUUUGUUGUUAUGCCCUCUUUUAUCUCAAUCUCCUUUUUUGAUCAUUUACUUUUUUAUUUUUAGCUUUUUAACUAUGGGAAAAAUAAAUUAAAAAUAGCAAAAUAUAUUACAUUAACCUACUUUGAUUUCCUAUUAACUUUGAAACCCUGUAUUGCUCUCACCAUCUUGUUUUGACUGAUUUUCCUCUAUUCUGUUUUGCUUGAUAUUACCAAGUUUGAAAGUAUAGGCAACAGCUGUGAAGACAAUAAGAUUCAUUAUGAUGCCCAUUCUGGUUGACUAUUAUCUUCCUUUGAAGUCCCGAAAUGUCUCCAAUGUUUUGGUUUUAUUGGUUUUGUUCUUUACUGUUUUGUUCAAUUUUAUUAUAACUGAUGAUAUAGGCAAUUCUUUUUAAGAUAGCAAGAGGCAUUAUGGUAACCAUUGUUGAUCACCUUGCAUUUUGUUUUUGCAUUAUGUAUUGUGUCCAUCCUUUUGAUUUGACUGACUCUGUUUUGUUAUAUCACAGUUGGUUUUACUGUCUUCAAAAAAAGUAAUAAGAACUGUGGGAGUAAUAAAACCCAAAAGUGUAAUUGUCAGUGUACAAAAGAGAGGAAAAGAAAGUGUUCUAAAGGAUAUAACUGCAUGCAUAUUUAAGUGUAUAAGAUAGAUAACCAUAUUACUGAGUUUUGUUGGAUUAUUGAACAGAAUGGUUUGCAGUCUCACUGUUUGAAGGUCUGCUUUAUAUGCUUUAAUUUUAUAACUUGAACAAUGAUUUCUAAGAUGACAAUAUGUAAUUAUUAACUAGUGAUUUCCUCCUGUUUAUUUUUUCUGAAAUUCUGUAUAACUUGUACCCUUUUUCUGUUUUUUUUUCUUUUUCUCCUUAAAUAAAAUUGAAAAAAAAGAGAA